rnacentral:rRNA from 1 species
GACGAACGCUGGCGGCGUGCUUAACACAUGCAAGUCGAACGGUGAAGGGAUCAGCUUGCUGGUUCUGGAUGAGUGGCGAACGGGUGAGUAACACGUGAGUAACCUGCCCCCUUCUUCUGGAUAACCGCAUGAAAGUGUGGCUAAUACGGGAUAUUCUGGGUCUGUCGCAUGAUGGGUCUGGGAAAGAUAUUGUUUCGGUGGGGGAUGGGCUCGCGGCCUAUCAGCUUGUUGGUGGGGUGAUGGCCUACCAAGGCGGUGACGGGUAGCCGGCCUGAGAGGGUGGACGGUCACACUGGGACUGAGACACGGCCCAGACUCCUACGGGAGGGAGCAGUGGGGAAUAUUGCACAAUGGGCGCAAGCCUGAUGCAGCGACGCCGGGUGAGGGAUGGAGGCCUUCGGGGUGUAAACCUCUUUCGCCAGUGAAGCAGGCCUGCUCCUUGUGGGUGGGUUGACGGUAGCUGGAUAAGAAGCGCCGGCUAACUACGUG